rnacentral:rRNA from 1 species
UAGGGAAUCUUCCGCAAUGGGCGAAAGCCUGACGGAGCAACGCCGCGUGAGUGAUGAAGGUCUUCGGAUCGUAAAACUCUGUUAUUAGGGAAGAACAAAUGUGUAAGUAACUAUGCACGUCUUGACGGUACCUAAUCAGAAAGCCACGGCUAACUACGUGCCAGCAGCCGCGGUAAUACGUAGGUGGCAAGCGUUAUCCGGAAUUAUUGGGCGUAAAGCGCGCGUAGGCGGUUUUUUAAGUCUGAUGUGAAAGCCCACGGCUCAACCGUGGAGGGUCAUUGGAAACUGGAAAACUUGAGUGCAGAAGAGGAAAGUGGAAUUCCAUGUGUAGAGGUGAAAUGCGCAGAGAUAUGGGGGAACACCAGUGGCGAAGGCGACUUUCUGGUCUGUAACUGACGCUGAUGUGCGAAAGCGUGGGGAUCAAACAGA